rnacentral:tRNA from 1 species
AGCAUGGUGGUGAAGGGGUUAGCACUGUUACCUCACAAGAUGGAGGUUCUGGGUUUGAGUCCUGGCUGGCUG